rnacentral:rRNA from 7 species
GCCGUAUCGGAAGGUGCGGCUGGAUCACCUCCUUU